CCCCCUCCACGUGGCCUCCAAGUAUGGAAAGGUGGACGUAGCAGAGCUUCUUCUGGAAAGAGGCGCCAACCCAAAUGCUGCAGGGAAAAACGGUCUGACACCCCUUCAUGUGGCCGUCCAUCACAACAACCUGGAUGUUGUUAAACUCCUGGUCAGCAAAGGAGGAUCUGCACACAGUACUGCCCGAAAUGGUUACACACCUCUACACAUAGCGGCUAAACA